rnacentral:rRNA from 1 species
AGUGAACGCUGGCGGUAGGCCUAACACAUGCAAGUCGAACGGCAGCACAGUAAGAGCUUGCUCUUACGGGUGGCGAGUGGCGGACGGGUGAGGAAUACAUCGGAAUCUACUUUUUCGUGGGGGAUAACGUAGGGAAACUUACGCUAAUACCGCAUACGACCUACGGGUGAAAGCAGGGGAUCUUCGGACCUUGCGCGUUUGAAUGAGCCGAUGUCGGAUUAGCUAGUUGGCGGGGUAAAGGCCCACCAAGGCGACGAUCCGUAGCUGGUCUGAGAGGAUGAUCAGCCACACUGGAACUGAGACACGGUCCAGACUCCUACGGGAGGCAGCAGUGGGGAAUAUUCGGCAAUGGGCGAAAGCCUGAUGCAGCAAUACCGCGUGAGUGAAGAAGGCCUUCGGGUUGUAAAGCCCUUUUGUUAGGAAAGAAAAGCAGCAGGUUAAUACCCCGCUGUUCUGACGGUACCCAAAGAAUAAGCACCGGCUAACUUCGUG